rnacentral:rRNA from 1 species
UACGUAGGGUGCAAGCGUUAAUCGGAAUUACUGGGCGUAAAGCGUGCGCAGGCGGUUUUGUAAGUCUGUUGUGAAAUCCCCGGGCUCAACCUGGGAAUGGCAAUGGAGACUGCAAGGCUAGAGUUUGGCAGAGGGGGGUAGAAUUCCACGUGUAGCAGUGAAAUGCGUAGAUAUGUGGAGGAACACCGAUGGCGAAGGCAGCCCCCUGGGUCAAAACUGACGCUCAUGCACGAAAGCGUGGGGAGCAAAAGGG